GAAAAAGGGGGAAAGCUGUAAACAGAACUGCAGAGAUUGUCCUGGGACUCCUCUUGACCCUGUCACUUAAGAGGGCUGCCCAUUUGCACAAAACUUCUGG